rnacentral:lncRNA from 1 species
GAGCGCUGUGUGAAAUCCCCGUGCUGAAGCGCCAGCCUUGCCAACCACAUCCUGGCCUCUCUGCCUGCCAGGCUCUGUCCUGCCCACGGCUUAGCCCAGCCAUGGAGUGGGCACCAUGCAGACCGCACUUGCUGCCCUGCUCUGCUUCGGAACGUAUGAUACCCCCACUCUCUGGGUUCAUCUGGGGCUGCAGGUGACUCCUGGGGAGCCUGUGACCCUGUACUGCCACCUGGAGACCAAGACCAGCAUGUUCGUCCUGCUCAAGGAGGGGAGACUCCGCCGCGUGCAGCAUGGUCAGGGCCCUGUGCAGGCCGAGGUCCCCCUGGACCCCAUGACCUUGGGCCCACCAGGGCAUACAGGUGCUUCGGGUCCUACAACAGCCACGCGUGGUCCUUCCCCAGUGAGCCCGUGGAGCUCCUGUCACAGGUGAGAGCAGCCGCUGUCCUUGACUCACUGUUCCGGGCCGAGGAUCCUGGGCUUCUCCUCGGGGCUGGGACCC